rnacentral:rRNA from 1 species
GACGAACGCUGGCGGCGUGCCUAAUACAUGCAAGUAGAACGCUGAAGAGAGGAGCUUGCUCUUCUUGGAUGAGUUGCGAACGGGUGAGUAACGCGUAGGUAACCUGCCUUGUAGCGGGGGAUAACUAUUGGAAACGAUAGCUAAUACCGCAUAACAAUGGAUGACACAUGUCAUUUAUUUGAAAGGGGCAAUUGCUCCACUACAAGAUGGACCUGCGUUGUAUUAGCUAGUAGGUGAGGUAAUGGCUCACCUAGGCGACGAUACAUAGCCGACCUGAGAGGGUGAUCGGCCGCACUGGGACUGAGACACGGCCCAGACUCCUACGGGAGGCAGCAGUAGGGAAUCUUCGGCAAUGGGGGCAACCCUGACCGAGCAACGCCGCGUGAGUGAAGAAGGUUUUCGGAUCGUAAAGCUCUGUUGUAAGUCAAGAACGGGUGUGAGAGUGGAAAGUUCACACUGUGACGGUAGCUUACCAGAAAGGGACGGCUAACUACGUG